rnacentral:rRNA from 1 species
AUUGAACGCUGGCGGCAGGCCUAACACACGCAAGUCGAACGAGUGGCGGACGGGUGAGUAAUGUCUGGGAAACUGCCUGAUGGAGGGGGAUAACUACUGGAACCGGUAGCUAAUACCGCAUACCAUCGGAUGUGCCCAGAUGGGAUUAGCUAGUAGGUGGGGUAAAGGCUCACCUAGGCGACGAUCCCUAGCUGGUCUGAGAGGAUGACCAGCGACACUGGAACUGAGACAGGGGCCAGACUCCGACGGGAGGCAGCAGUGGGGAAUAUUGCACAAUGGGCGCAAGCCUGAUGCAGCCAUGGCGCGUGUAUGAAGAAGGCCUGCGGGUUGUAAAGUACGUUCAGCGGGGAGGCGUUACCCGCAGAAGAAGCACCGGCUAACUCCGUGCCAGCAGCCGCGGGAAUAC